CGCGAGGCAGGCCGGACGUGCGGCGGGGCCCGAACGGGCCUGACUAACGGGGGCGGCGUGGGCAGGGUCGGGCUUAAGUUUCAACUGGAAGGGCACUGUAGACUCCCCUGACAUGGCUUGUAAAUACCACUUUCCCGCAAAAGGAGCUGGGCAGGGCUCUUGAGAGAUACCGGUGACUCUAGAACUGGGACGGGGAAAGUACGACUGAGUCCGCAGCAUCCCACAGCGCCAUAAGUCAGGAAUACCCAAAAAUACGUGUAGGUGUGUCAAGGGACAAAGGACUCAACCAGCAACAGCCCCCAGUGCCCAAACCUGGCACAGUUUUAUUUAGAAUGUAAGGGCCUUGGAAGGGAAGAGACGUAGAUCUCUGUGUUCAUCCCAAUGUGCAAAACCAGAACAGAGUUAUACGUUGCCUCCAAAAACGUUGCCUCCAGAUAGUGAACAGAAAACAGUAUUUUCCUACUAAACCUUCAAUUUAUAUAUAGCUGACAAGAAAAAACACUGACUCCAAUAAAAAAAAAAACAGUGCCGUGACAGUCCUGGCUUGACAGUGUAGGGAAAAUAAAACUCUCCUGCCCAACCUGGAAGAGGAACUAAUGAUGGAAACCUGACGUCCGUCUACUCAUGCAUGAGGAAGAAUGUGGUUUUUCUCCCUCCCCACUUUCCCUUUGAUUAUAAAGUUGUAGCCCACUAAGUUCUCCCUCUCACACCACUGCUUGUAAGCCUCACAAGCAUCCCACUCUAAUAAAUCACUUCUUUCCUUGUUGGAGCUUCAAGUAACUUCUUUGUUGAAUGAGAUAGUAAUAGUUUUUGAAUAUUAGAAGAAUAGUUUUGUGCUAUUCAAGGUAUGACACCUACAUAUACUAUCCUUUUAAAUUCUUCAUCUGUAUUGUUAAUACUAUUUCAAUCAUGUUCAUAAAUGCAUAAAAUUAAAAAAUUAACAAAGCAAGAAAUAAAAC
ensembl:lncRNA